rnacentral:rRNA from 1 species
UACGGAGGGUGCGAGCGUUAUCCGGAAUUACUGGGUUUAAAGGGUGCGUAGGCGGGCAGGUAAGUCCGUGGUGAAAUCUCUGAGCUUAACUCAGAAACUGCCAUGGAUACUAUUUGUCUUGAAUAUUGUGGAGGUAAGCGGAAUAUGUCAUGUAGCGGUGAAAUGCUUAGAUAUGACAUAGAACACCAAUUGCGAAGGCAGCUUACUACACAGUUAUUGACGCUGAGGCACGAAAGCGUGGGGAUCAAACAGG